rnacentral:piRNA from 1 species
UAGGGAUUUGGGAAUGCUUUUCUGUCUCUC